rnacentral:lncRNA from 1 species
GAAGUUGAAUCCUCCGGCCAGGCACGAAGAUAAAACAUCUUUAAUCACCUUUGCCUCUGCGACUAAUUAGCGACAGUUGAACUACUACACUUUGCUUGAUUUUCUAUGUUGUAUCUUCAGUAUAAUAACGUUUUGGAAGCCUGUGGGCAUGAAGUCACCUUUGUUAGGGAACGCUUUACCCUUCAAUAUGAGAUUUUCCGUUGCAAAUCUAGAUUAGUCGGGCCUCAAUGUAAAUACCGAAUAAUGGGUUCAAAAAUAAAAAAUAAAUAAAACAUUGAGUAUAAUAACGUUGCGGAAGCAUGUGGGUAUGAAGUCACUUUUGUUAGGGAGCGCUUUACUCCUAAUAUGGGAUUUUCCGUUGCAAAUCCUUAUUAGUCGAGGCCCAAUGUAAAUACUGAAUAAUGGGUGAAAAAUAAAAAAUAAAUAAAACAUUGUGGGUGUGUUUAUAUUUGCAAAGAUAUCCAAACUAUGUUUGGGUUAAAUGUAUAUUUCAUAUUUUGGUUAAAAAAAAUGCUGGAUCUAGCUAGCUGACUUAGAUCUUUGUUAAUCUGGUUUAUAUUUCCCUGAUAGGGGAGUACUUAGGUCAGGUUGGUC